GAUGAAGAACGUAGUGAAAUGCGAUAAGUAAUGUGAAUUGCAGAAUUCAGUGAAUCAUCGAAUCUUUGAACGCACAUUGCGCCCCUUGGUAUUCCGAGGGGCAUGCCUGUUCGAGCGUCAUUAUAACCACUCAAGCUCAGCUUGGUGUUGGGGCCUGCUGCACUGGCAGCCCUUAAAAUCAGUGGCGGCGCCAUCUGGCUCUAAGCGUAGUAAUUCUUCUCGCUAUGGAGUCCUGGUGGAUGCUUGCCAUCAACCCCCAAUUUUUCUAUGGUUGACCUCGGAUCAGGUAGGGAUACCCGCUGAACUUAAGCAUAUCAAUAAGCGGAGGA
rnacentral:misc_RNA from 1 species